UCUUGGCCUCAAGCAAUCCUUCCUCUUUGGCCUCCCAACUUGUUGGGAUUACAGAUGGGAGCCCUCAUACCCACCAAUCACAAGGAUCUUUAUAAGAGAAGGAGGUAGGAGAGUCAGAAUUAGAGAAAGUGAUGUGGUAAUGGAAGAAGAGGUCAGAGAGGGAGAUUUGAAGAUGCUGCACUUCUGGCCUUGAAUAUGGAGUCACGAGAAACAGGACCUUGCCCUGUCACUCAGGAUGGAGUUCAAUGGUCCUAUCAUGGCUCAUUAUAGCCUUAAACUCCCAGGCUCAAGCAAUCCUACCAUGUCAGCCUUCCCAGUAGCUGGGACUACAGGAAGUGACCUCACAAUGACUCAAGCUACCACAUACUGUUGAUUGUGAAAUGCCAGUUGAAGCAUAUGUCCUGCGAGCUUAGGGGUGCUACAAGUUGACCACUGCAGCAGUAAAGAUGACUCUGAAGAAUGGCAUGGGAUGGAUCCUUUCGAAUGCACUUGAGCAGCGGUCUCCAACCACAGGGCCACAGAGCUGGAGCUGGAUCUACCAUGAAAGACUUCUGAAUCCAGGAAGAGAGACUGACUGGGCAACAUGUUAUUCAGGGUCUCCCUCUGUUGUCCAAGGCUGGAGUGUAGUAGUGCUA
rnacentral:lncRNA from 1 species